CCUGAGAGAGGCAGUGAUGUCACUAUGGGAACAGCCCCGAGGUGACAAGACAUGUUCCCUCCUCCUCUGCUCCUGCUCACAAGGACCUGACCCAGUGAACUUCCCACUCCUGACCUGACCCUGCCAUGGGCACCAGGCUCCUCUGCUGGGCGACCCUCUGUCUGCUGGGGGCCGGUCACACAGAGGCUGGAGUCUCCCAGUCCCCGAGGAACCAGGUCACCGAGAGGGGACAGAAUGUGACAUUUCGGUGUGAUCCUAUUCCUGGCCACUUUGGCCUUUAUUGGUACCAACACGUGCCAGGGCAGGGCCCGAAGUUCUUGGUGUACUUCCGAGGCAAGGAACCUGUGGACACCUCCGGGAUGCCUAAGGAUCGGUUCUUCAUUGUGAGACCUGACGGCUCCUCCUCCACUCUGAGCAUCCAGCCUGCAGAGCCUGGGGAUUCGGCCGUGUACCUCUGUGCCAGCACUGCAACCACAGUGUGGCACUGUCACCGCCUCCCUGCUCACAAACCCUCCUGUGCUCCCCUCUGCUCAUGGUUCCCAGACUCCCUAGCAGGAGGUGUCAACAGCAUUGCUGCAGAAGUGGCCACAUGA